rnacentral:rRNA from 1 species
UACGUAGGGGGCAAGCGUUGUCCGGAUUUAUUGGGCGUAAAGAGCGUGUAGGCGGCCAUACAGGUCCGUUGUGAAAACUCGAGGCUUAACCUCGAGACGUCGAUGGAAACCGUAUGGCUAGAGUCCGGAAGAGGAGAGUGGAAUUCCUGGUGUAGCGGUGAAAUGCGCAGAUAUCGGGAGGAACACCGGUGGCGAAGGCGGUUCUCUGGGCCUUACCUGACGCUGAGGAGCGAAAGCGUGGGGAGCGAACAGG